AACGCACUCUUCGGAGUGAGUGGCAGACGGGUGAGUAACGCGUGGGAAUCUACCUAGUGGUGGAGGAUAACUUCGGGAAACCGGAGCUAAUACUCCAUAAGCCCUUCGGGGGAAAGUUUUUUCGCCAUUAGAUGAGCCCGCGUUAGAUUAGCUAGUUGGUAGGGUAAUGGCCUACCAAGGCGACGAUCUAUAGCUGGUCUGAGAGGAUGAUCAGCCACACUGGGACUGAGACACGGCCCAGACUCCUACGGGAGGCAGCAGUGGGGAAUAUUGCACAAUGGGCGCAAGCCUGAUGCAGCCAUGCCGCGUGUGUGAUGAAGGCCUUAGGGUUGUAAAACACUUUCAUCGGUGAAGAUAAUGACGGUAGCCGAAGAAGAAGCCCCGGCUAACUCCGUGCCAGCAGCCGCGGUAAUACGGAGGGGGCAAGCGUUGUUCGGAAUUACUGGGCGUAAAGCGCACGUAGGCGGACUGGUCAGUUGGGGGUGAAAUCCCGAGGCUUAACCUCGGAACUGCCUUCAAUACUGCCAGUCUUGAGAUCGGAAGAGGUGAGUGGAAUUCCUAGUGUAGAGGUGAAAUUCGUAGAUAUUAGGAAGAACACCAGUGGCGAAGGCGGCUCACUGGUCC
rnacentral:rRNA from 1 species